UACAGAGACUGCAAGCGUUAUUCGGAUUCACUGGGCGUAAAGGGUGCGCAGGCGGCCGUGUGUGUCAGGUGUGAAAGCCCGGGGCUUAACCCCGGAAUUGCGCCUGAAACUACAUGGCUAGAGCAUUGGAGAGGGUAGCGGAAUUCACGGUGUAGCAGUGAAAUGCGUAGAUAUCUGGAAGAACACCGGUGGCGAAGGCGGUCAACUGGCCCUAAACUGACGCUCAGGCACGAAAGCGUGGGGAUCAAACAGG
rnacentral:rRNA from 1 species